CACGUAGGGCGCAAGCGUUGUCCGGAAUUAUUGGGCGUAAAGAGCUCGUAGGUGGUUUGUUACGUCUGCUGUGAAAACCUAGGGCUUAACCCUGGGCUUGCAGUGGAUACGGGCAGACUAGAGGUAGGUAGGGGAGAAUGGAAUUCCUGGUGUAGCGGUGAAAUGCGCAGAUAUCAGGAGGAACACCGGUGGCGAAGGCGGUUCUCUGGGCCUUACUUGACACUGAGGAGCGAAAGCGUGGGGAGCGAACAGG
rnacentral:rRNA from 1 species